rnacentral:rRNA from 1 species
UGCGUAGGUGGUUGGUUAAGUUUGAGGUGAAAGCUCCGAGCUCAACUCGGAAAAUGCCUUGAAGACUAUCUGACUAGAGGAUUGGAGGGGAGAUUGGAAUUCUCGGUGUAGCAGUGAAAUGCGUAGAUAUCGAGAGGAACACUAGUGGCGAAGGCGAAUCUCUGGACAAUUCCUGACACUGAGGCACGAAAGCCAAGGGAGCAAACG